GGUCGUUAGCCGUGGUAGGCAGUUCACCUAGGAGAGCAAACUCCGAACAACAAACCCGGCCAGGUGGAGGUCGUUAGCCGUGGUAGGCAGUUCACCUAGGAGAGCAAACUCCGAACAACAAACCCGGCCAGGUGGAGGUCGUUAGCCGUGGUAGGCAGUUCGCCUAGGAGAGUAAACUCCGAACAACAAACCCGGCCAGGUGGAGGUCGUUAGCCAUGGUAGGCAGUUCACCUAGGAGAGCAAACUCCAAACAACAAACCCGGCCAGGUGGAGGUCGUUAGCCGUGGUAGGCAGUUCACCUAGGAGAGCAAACUCCAAACAACAAACCCGGCCAGGUGGAGGUCGUUAGCCAUGGUAGGCAGUUCACCUAGGAGAGCAAACUCCAAACAACAAACCCGGCCAGGUGGAGGUCGUUAGCCGUGGUAGGCAGUUCACCUAGGAGAGCAAACUCCAAACAACAAACCCGGCCAGGUGGAGGUCGUUAGCCAUGGUAGGCAGUUCACCUAGGAGAGCAAACUCCAAACAACAAACCCGGCCAGGUGGAGGUCGUUAGCCGUGGUAGGCAGUUCGCCUAGGAGAGUAAACUCCGAACAACAAACCCGGCCAGGUGGAGGUCGUUAGCCGUGGUAGGCAGUUCACCUAGGAGAGCAAACUCCAAACAACAAACCCGGCCAGGUGGAGGUCGUUAGCCGUGGUAGGCAGUUCACCUAGGAGAGCAAACUCCGAACAACAAACCCGGCCAGGUGGAGGUCGUUAGCCGUGGUAGGCAGUUCACCUAGGAGAGCAAACUCCAAACAACAAACCCGGCCAGGUGGAGGUCGUUAGCCGUGGUAGGCAGUUCGCCUAGGAGAGUAAACUCCGAACAACAAACCCGGCCAGGUGGAGGUCGUUAGCCAUGGUAGGCAGUUCGCCUAGGAGAGCAAACUCCGAAAAACAAACCCGGGCUUGUGGUGCCCGUUAAGUGUCGUAGACAAUCCACGUUUUGGGAACAACAAAGAAAAUGAAAAUGAAAAAGAACAACAGAAAAGAGGAAAAUAUAGAAACGAAACAUCGAGAAAAAAACACACACAUCAUCCACCAUUAGGCCCUAACUAACAUCAUCAAAAUUAUGGGUGGGUCUUUUCUGGGGAGAAAGAGGCUUAUCCACACCAAAGAACAUCAAAAAGGGAUGAUAUAGAAAAGAACACCGAAAAAUAUAGAAAAGAAAAAAAAGAUCAGAACAAAACAUCGAAAAAGAAAAGUAACAGCAAUAAUUGAAAAAACAUCAAUAAAAGAAAACUACAAAGAAACAUCAUCCACCUUUCGGCCCUGACUAACAUCACCAAAAUUAUGGGUGGGUCUUUUCUGGGGAGAAAAAGGCUCAUCCAGACCAAAGAACAUCAAAAGGGAUGGUAUAGAAAAGAACACCGAAAAAUAUAGAAAAGAAAAAGAACAGAAAAAACCUCGAAAAAGAAAAGUAACAGCAAUAAAAGAACAACACCACGAAAAGAAAAAUACAAAGAAACAUCAUCCGCCUUUCGGCCCUGACUAACAUCACCAAAAUUAUGGGUGGGUCUCUUCUGGGAGGAAAGAGGCUCAUUCAGACCAUCAAAGAACAUCAACAAAAGGAUGACAUUGAAAAGAACAUCAAGAAAGAAAGAAAAAGAGAAAAAGAACAGAAAAAAUAUAGAAAAAGAAAAAUAUCAAGAAAAAAAAAAAACAAGAAAAAUACAAGGAACAUCAUCCACCUUUUGGCCCUCAGUAACAUCACCAAAAUUAUGGGUGGGUCUCUUCUGGGAGGAAAGCGGCGCACCCAGACCAUCGAAGAACAUCAACAAAAGGAUGAUAGAGAAAAGAACAUCAAGAAAGAAAGAAAAAGAGAAAAAAAACAGAAAAAAAUACCGAAAAAGAAAAAGAAAGAAAAAGAAAGACCUAUAAUUGUAAAUAUUCUUCAACUUA